UUUUUUACAGAAGAAUCUAGCCCAAGUGUAAUUAUUCCUGAGUAGGAUAUCUCCCUGAGCUCCAUUAGAACAUUCAUUGGGUGAAUGGCACCCAGAAAGAAUGUUGCAAAUCUUGGUAAGCACAUAUCUUAUUUACAGCAAUUUAUUUUACUUUUGCAUUAUAUAUUUGUCCUGGUCUACUUACAAAAGCAAAUACAUAAUUUGCUCUUUAAACUAGAAAAUGUAAAACACCUUCAUUAGCUUUAUUGUAAGUUACAUCUUUCUUCCACUGAACUGAAAAGCCUUUCUUACAAAAGGAUUUUUAUACGGUAUCUUGCAGGUUUAAAAAGUGAUAGCAAUGUACUUGUAGGUGUCCCACCCCCUACUCUGACAAGUUUUUUGGUAUUAUAAACCCAUCUUAUCUUUAUUUUUUCCCCGUUCCUUGUGAUCUUUGUCAAAUCUCAGAAAAGUGAGUCAGAGACUAUGGUGGAGAAACUUUCUAGGGAAGCCAGUCACAGCAGCUCUGUCAGCGGCACAGCUGUAACAUAGUAAUAAGUUUUCUAAGUUUUAUGAAUUAAAAUGUCAGUAAAGCUGCUGAAUCUGUUUCAGGCAGGUUAUCUUAAUACCAUUUUUAUUUCCACUGGCCCAUGACAGCAUGAAAAAGGGAAGAUGGGUGACAUUUACUCAGUAUUAAUUCUAAAGGUGAAGGAAGUUUUUAUUCCUUCUAUAAAUAAAAAAUGCUGUAGCCAGCAUUUGGGUGAAGGUGUAUUGGUAAUAUGGACAAAAGGAGAUACAUAUUUUAUAAAUAAGGACACGAGAAAGUUGGAAUAUAUAAUCAGUAGUGUGUAAUAUAGAAUGUCAAUAUUCAUUGACGUAUGGUAAAGCUACUUAGUAGUACUUCUGGAGCAGUGAUCUAGGUGUUGUCUCCUAGGAAACACUAAAAUGUAUUUCUGUAUUAACUGCUACUGUUAAUGGUCUGCCUUAAAGAAAAAGGUAUGUCUUAAUAUGUGUUCGUUUAUAUAUAUAUAUACACACAUAUAUGUAUGUAUGUGUGUAUUUUAUACGUAUAUAUUUAUAAUGUUGCUGGCCCAGAAUGUUAGGGAUGCAAAAAGGGAAGAGGUGAGGAAUUCCUUCAGAAAGUCAGAAGUGGGUAACUUAUAUACCUUGAGCAUCAAAAUGAUCUUAGUGCUAUAUAAGAACAGCACACACGGUGAUAAAUAUUCAACAAGAACUAUUCUUCGUUAUUGAGAUACUUGCUCCUUGUGCCUGUUAGUGUAGACACACAUACAACAUCUUUUUCUGAAGUUGCAUUGCUAUUUAUGAUUGUGCCUGUGGCCCAGGUGUUGGUUUGUCAGGUCCACAGAGGACAAUCAGUGUUAAGAGUCAGGACUGCAAAGCCCAAUUUGUUUUCUGUGCUGAAUAUACUCUCUCUUCCUUUGUUAUAUUGACCCAAAUAAGGAUUAUUACAGUAAAAUUAACAAAAUUAAUAUUAGUUUAAUCAGCACUAUUUUUUCAGGCAAAGGAAAUUCAGGAGAAAUACAGACACUAUCUUCAAUUAUGUUUGUAUUUGCUAAAUAUUUUAUGAAAUAUUUUGAGAUUGGAUCACCAGUAAUAAAAUUGUACAUAAAUAUGCUAAACUUGCCUUGCCACCUAUCUUGAAGUCAACACUGAAAAUUGUUGUUCCAAUUUGAGGUUAAAAAUUACAUCUUGAAAUAAGUGUUACUGGUAUUCUUUAGUGGUUGAAAUAUAGUACAACAAAUUCAGACCACAGUAAAUUUUGUUUUCAUCAGUCUCAAACAAGACCUGACUAUGAGCUGAGAAAUAAAUGCUUAUGAAUGUAUUAUGAUAUGCACGUAUGCAGAGAUGGCAACUGCUACCUUAGUCUUUCUCUCUAAUUAGCAGAAGCACUACUCUUGUUCCUUUAUAAUUAUUUCUAAACUAAUUAUUAUUAAGCAUUAAUUCCUCACUAAGAAUUAAUUACAUGUGACGUCUGAGUUUUAAAACUUAAACAAUGUUUGGAACUCUCCAGACAUGAAGAGUGGUGCUUCUGUCUUGCACCUAAUUCUCAGAUCUUUCUAAUCUAGUUCUCAGAGUGGUCUGGACCUGUAGUGCUUACUCACUGAAAUUUCAUCCUUGGACCAAACAGAAAUAUCAGUAUGCUUUCCCAGACAGGAUUCUUCUUUGUAUAUUGAUUUGUGUCUAUGUUAUUUACUAUAAAUUAAGUAAGAAAUCAAGCUGCUAGUAUCUGAUGUCUAAAAUCUUCUCCUUCACCAAAAUGCAUAGCAAACUUCUUGUUCUUUAUCUGUAACUGCUAGUUUGUCUGAAGUGGAUGCUUUAUUUAGCACAUAAAAAGCCAUCAUCAAAUUAAACUUCCGUGGUAUCCAGAGAGAUUGUUAUGAUAGUUCUGUGUUGGGAUGUUACAUAUAUUUUCUUUGUUAUAAGUAAGCAAGACUCUUCUUUUGGUCUUUAUCUGCAUUGCUUUAUUUAAUUAACUGGUGAAUUAUGAUAUCUCAGUAUUUUAAGCAUUCUGUAUUUUCUCUCACUUUUGCACAAAGUUAAUAUGAAUUGGGAAUAAUUUCACAUUAUUUUGGUGAGAUUAGAUCCCAUAUGUAUGAAAUGUAGUAAGUUUUAGUUAUACCUUACUCAGAAGCUGAAAAUGCCAUUAGAAAAGUAAGGUUUAGAUAGUUGUCAAUUUUACAUUGCCUUACUGAGCUGCUUUGCUUUUAACAGCCUUUAAUUUCAGAUGGGAAACAGCCUUGCAUCAAUUCUUUCACAGGCCAAAAUGCAAAACCCUAAAUAGCUAAAAGAGCAUUCUUUGCUGAUUGCCCAUACCCCUGUCCUCAUCCUACAGCAUCCCCCAUCCUCCUCGCAAUCUGGUGAAUUCUUGUACACCUCUGUGUAGCAUACUUGUAGAAUGAGAUCCUCAGAGUCUUCCCACUGGGAUUAUGCUAUUAUGUCAGCUAGAAAGGUAUACAGAAACUCACUUUCCAGUGUUUAAGAUGGAUUUUAAAGGCAAAUAGUUGCUUUCUAGAAACCUAGAAAAUUGAGCUGCUUUUGAGUACUGGUUUAGAGGGAAAGAACAGACUGUGUUAGAAAGGGCUGGUGUUCUAGGUUCACCAGACAUUUUUUUUCCUGUUGUUUGAAAGCAAUAGAAAGCUAUUACCUAGGGAAAGAAAGAAAAAAAGACGUAUUUAUGUACUCAGCUACCGAAAUGUUGCAGAAGGUGUUAUUUUUGAGCACUGUAAUAUUAAAUCUCACCUGCAGCACCCUUAAUUUUAUGCCCAGAAGUUCACUGUGGACUUCCAUAAUGAUAUGAAGAAAAGGAAACUGGAAAAAAAAGUCAAUACCAUAAUUUCUAAACAACUCAAUAGAAAACUGAUUUGCAAAUACUUGUUUUGAAAACUGUGUAAGGUACUUAGUGUCACAGUUUUUUAAAGCACAAGUUUAGUCCUUCAUAGGACAUUCAGUAAUUUAACAUUAAUAAAAAUAAAUCUGGAUUGAUCUUGAUUGCUUUCCUGCAAAUGCAUUCCUUUGUGCUUGACAAUUCAUAAGUUUAGGAUAUCUUUCAGGAUGAUUCUUCUUUAUGUUUUAUUAAUUCUGACUCCAAAUGCUGUCUGUAAUCAUGCCUGUAAAAACAACUGUAUUGCUUACAGUUAGUAAGCAUCAACAGCUGAGGAAUGACAUGAGUAGGAUGUAAUUUGUACAUUCCAAAUCUAUAGACUUUUAUUACAGUUAAUCAGCAACACACAACUCAGAAUUUAUUCUGUUUUUUUUCCUGCUUCAUGUGCUUGGAUGCUGAUCUUACACUGGCAUCGAUGUGUUUAGUGUUAACAGUCUCAUUGAAUUCAGUUUAAAAGGUAAAGAUAAUAAAGUUCAAAUAAAGAGAAUCAAUAGUGACAUUCCUACGAAAUCAAAACAAUGUAUCUGGUUACAUCAGAUGCUAUAGGACUUGAUUUUUAAUUCCUAUAUGUUUAAAUGAAUGAGCACCUAUGCAGAUGAGGCUGAGAUGCUGUUGGUACAACUCAGUGAGCUUCCAGGUGAGUGGAUGAUCUGGGGGCCCGAAUCUGUUUCAGCUGUGGGCCUGUCUUACAGCCAAGCCUAGAUAGUCAGCUAGUUACACUUCAGAUUAAUUUUGAAUAUGUACACUCUCUUGUGGAAGAGAAAUGUAUAAAAUACAGCUGGUUUGACUGCUUGCCAAUCAGAGCAAUAUAUUUGACUUUAUUUUGACUCUCUUGCAUUUUGGGACCUUAUUCUGAGAUUUGUAUUUUUUAAAAAGCAGUUAGCUUCAUGUCUCUGCUAAGCUCAAUUACGUAGGACAUUUGGAAGAAAGAACAGGAGAUUAAAUCAAUGACAAUUCAUCAUAUUAUGUCUCACUCUGACAAGCUUAAUUUUAAGAAUAUUUGAAUUUCCUAUACCUGUUUCCCUGUACUUUACCCAGGAUGGUGCCAGCCCAGGGUGAGGGUUGCUAAUACUGUAUGUCAGUCAAAAAGGGAGACUAAUCUUUGUUAUUUGCAAAGAAGGAGGUGGCUAACUAAGAGCAUGCACCUAAUCUCAGCCUAGAAUAACAUGAAUGUGAGAAAGUGCCUCACCCUCUCUCCUUCUAGGCUUUAGCACAUGAAUAGAAUUGCUUUUUUUUUUUUUUGAUAUAUCAAGUUCUCUGGCUACUUCAGAGGUUGAAACUAGUCAGGAAGGAGCAGAAUUAAAAACAGUUUUAUGUUCCCACAUAAUGCAGCUACAACACUUAUGCUGUGUCAUUGCACUCGUGGAUUGGGUUUGAACAUACUGUUGUAGUAAUCCAGAAUGAGAUGAGGCCUCACACUGACUACCUCUCAUGCAAUAACCCCAAGCUCAUAUAGUACUUAAUAUUGAUUACAGUCGAGCAUCUUUUGGCCACAUGAUUCAGGGAGGUGGUAGUGGGGGGAAUAGUCAUUUAAUUAAUUUAAUAAAGACUUUAUUCCAGUGAUGUAUGUGGUAUACACAAUAUCCAUAAUACCAACUCCAACUGAGAGAGGUCCUGCAGCUUCUAGUAGGAAACAAAGGUGAACCUGGCUAUGCUGUAGUUUAUGUUGUGCUCUAAAAUGUAACGAAAGAUGUCAUCUGUUUCCUUAAGGCUGAUCUGGAUUUACCAGGAUGUUGUGUCCAAAGCACACACACACACACGCAAUUCUAGGUACUGAGGAAACAUGAUGCAUCUUUACCUAUUGCAAUGUAAUUGGAUAAUGCAUGUACAAAUGACUUGUUUAGCCUGCCAAUGAAUGUUGCUAAUGCCUUACCAAAAAAAAAAAAAGCAUAUUUUUUGUAUUUUUUUCCUCAGAGGCAAAUCCAAACAAUGCUAGAUUUGGGAAACUGUUUACUGAAAAGCAUUUUCUAAUAGAUCUCUGAAGAAGUGCAAUUGUAUAAUUAUUAUUGUUCAAUGCGUACAGUACAUUGUCUCCAUCACUCUGUACACUGCUGCUAUUAGUGCUUGUUCUAAUAAAUCUCAAUGUACACUGUUUAAACUCCUGUCAUCUGUGUUCUGAUUUAUUAACAUAAACACUUUAGAAUUUGGUUCCUGAACGAACUAUUUGUAACUAGUUAAUUGAUUAUUAAUUGUAAAAUUCUUAAUAUAUAUUGAUUUUGGAAAGGUGUGUGAUAGUGGCAGCAAUAGCACUGAAACAGCGGCUUCUCACAAGCAUCAUCCUGUUCCUUUCUAACCUUUUUCUACUGCAGUAUUAUUUUUAUAAAACUUCUCCCAUGUGAUUCUCUGUGCAGUUCCUUUAAAUCUGGCAGGAGCUACCAACUGCAGUCUCAAAGAAGAUAAUUUUCUAUUUGGCAGUUCCCACUUUUAUUCAUGCUACAGCUGGUAAGAGCCUUUCUGUGCGGUAUGUUCUCAAGUUUUGUGAGAGGGUGUAGAGAAAAUGGCUCUUGUAGUCCUCUAAUAGAAUUGAAUAAAGAGGUGUGGGGAAAAAAAGAAAUUACUUGACACCCACCUCUUCUGGCAUCUUGGAAAAAUACCAGUAUGUGGAAUUUUCCCAUUCUAUGUUCUUGUCCUUAUUCAGCCCUUAAAUCGAUUACAUUUUAUUUUAAAUGAAAGUAUAAUAAAAACCAAGAAUUUGGCUGGGAGGAGAAAUUAAGGUUUUUAUUGUUUCUUGGCACUGUAAAAAGAACAAGUGUUCAAAUAGUCUGGAAGGCUGCCUGAGUGGAAGCAACAGCAAAGGAAGGGAAAGCACUUUUUUUCAUGAAUGGCGAUGCUUGCUUUCUUGUGUCAGAGUACACAUCUGAUCUCAUCCAAACCAGGUUUGUAGACUGGGAGCUUAUUCCCUGUUAAACAAUUCUAUGAGCAAAAUUCAGAUCUGGUUUCACAUUUAUGUAGCUGGGAUCUGUACUUCGCCUCUGAAUGCUGUGCAAAACAAAUCUAACACUUUUUGAUGACUAUUUCUCAUCAAAAUUCCUGUGCAUAAUUGAAGUGUGAAAAGCUGUAUGUCAUUCCUUAAUUGAUUGAAAAAAGAAUUAUUUGGGAAUAGAUUAGAGUGCAAGAGGCCUAUGAGGCAAUCUGACAUCUAUCUUAGCAUAAAAAGUAUUUAAGUAUGGUAAUAAUUUUUAUAUUUAAACUUAAUCUAACCAAGGACCAGAUGAUACUUCUUCUUAACCACAAACAUGUAGGCGCUGUGGUGUGGUGAAGUGAGGCAGUGUGGGAUGCUAUUGACAAGAUUUUAUACUGACUCAGCUAAAGGAGUUGCCCACAGAAAGCUGUUCCAAGUUUCACUGCCAGUACAAAAAUCUGUUCUGAUGUGAUGACACAUAGCAUUAUUGUUCAGCCAAUGUAUCAAGCAACAAGGUUCUCCAAGUCCUUAUGGGCUUACUAAAUAUUUAGGUUGGUCUAAAUGUUAAAAACCACAAGUAUGCAAUAUUUACUGUUCCCGCACCUGAAUCUGAAAAAUUAUUUUUUUCCACUAAGUAGUCGUUACUAAAUCAGAUUAAAAGAAACUAAUCUGAAAUACCAUUCAAAAUGAAUGAGGUACUGUGGACUAGCUGAGGAGGUACUCUGUAGUUUAUUUUGACUGAGUGGUGAGUCUAAUUUUUCUCAGGGCCAGUAAAUGAAAUGUCUUAUGUUUAGACUUUGCUUUUUAUUUCUGACAGCAAUGUCUAAGAUGUAACUAUUAGGCAGAGUAGCUAAGGGACAGGCUAGGUUGUAUACCCCGUAUCUACAUCCCAAGUGUGUACUAAUAAUGGUAAAGCUAAAAAAGAAUGCAAAGCAAGUUAACAAAGUAUGCAUAAAUGCAAGCUACAGACAUGAAUCUGGUUUGAAGACCUGCUUUACCUAUGAUUAGAUUACAUUUGUAAUCACAUGGGAAAGUUCCAAAGUAAAACCAAAUACGUGGUUGCAUUUCUCACUGAUAACUGUCUGGCUGUAUUUGCUUGAGCAAAGAAAUGAAAUGAAUUAGCUCAAAUUUCAUGACUGUCCAAGGUUUCCUGAGCAGGUUUUUUGACAAGUCGGUGGAGGAAAAAGUAUAAGGAAACAUUUCCAAAAGGUUACAGUUGUUGGACUGCAAGUGGCUACGCAUUCUGUGGUCUCUAAAUGCCAUAAUGCUUUGUGAGCAGCAAUCACUGUGAACAAUAUGCCAAGUGACCCCAGUACCCCAGCAGCCUGCUAGACCAGGAGUUCAGCAUGGCAGUGUCACUGUCUUCAGGAGCCCUGAAGCAAUAAUUCCACCUUCCAGCUGUGGAUGAAUCUGCUGUACAGAUGAAUCAGCAACAGAGGCUUCUACCAAUGUCUGUGUUGUGGUGAGGGUUCAAGUCUGACCUUAAUCCAGUAAUGUAUCAAGGUGGGCUAAGAUCAGGACUAUGGAGGAUCCUGCAUAGUGAAGGCAGAUGGGAUGCCUUGUCACUAUUGUUCUAUGGCCCUGUGCUAAGGGGUAUGGAAGGUUACAGUCCCUGGGAUUCCCCUGAGGUAGCAUGAACCACAUAGGAGCAAAGAUUUUCGUCUGCAGAACUUGUAGAGGCAAGGCAAGAUUUUUUUAUUGAAGUUCUAACUUGGGCAUAACAUAUGCAUAGCAUGUUUUUCAUUUAUUGGUUGCC